GGAUGCGAUCAUACCAGCACUAAAGCACCGGAUCCCAUCAGAACUCCGGCGAGAGUAGUACUAGGAUGGGUGACCUCCUGGGAAGUCCUCGUGUUGCAUUCC
rnacentral:rRNA from 1 species